GUGUGGCGAGAGAGAUGAGUAAAUAUGGUUUAAACUAUAUUCAUUAAUCGAACAAUUAAUUCCAAUGGAGCAUACAGACAUACUAUUGAUCAUGGAUUGGUAAGAAUAUCCAAGCAACUGAUAUUAAAGUAAUCCAAGACGUGAUAAUGGAACAUGCAAACAUUGUGUUGCACUUCUCUUUGCUGUCAAUGACUUUUGUACUGGACACAAAGAUAGAGGAACUGAAGUAGGAACCGAUAUUGAAUGUGUAUGGGACACACCCAGGAAUGAAUCUACCCCCAUGGAAGUAAAUGAAAUUGACAUAAGAACAGAUACAAGUGUGCCCAAAAAGAUAGCCCCCACCCAUCUAAACUAUAAAUCAACCAAGAACACCCCCAUCUUCUAAUGAAAUCAAGAUUAAGCUAAAAAAUAUUUGUAAAGGUACAAAUGUAUUACUGCUACAAACAUUAUAUGAUGAAGGUGACCAAUCUGAAGAUGAAAAUUGUUUAAAUAUUCCAACAAUUUUAGAUGUGACAAAAUCAAAUCCUUCAAUUAUUUUUGAUGCUUUGAAAGGUAUUUUUACUAAAGAUGUCAUACAGGAAAUAGAAGAAAAUACAAAGGAUCAAAGUGACAAUCCAGAGUGGUUCAAUCAUCGCAAAGGUAGAAUUACAGCAUCAAAUUUUUCUUCUAUAUUGAGUUUCAGAUUUACUGAAAAUAAGGAAAAUUACAUUUCAAAGAGAGUUAUGGGCACAACAGCCCAUAUUGAUACACCAUCAGUGAACUUUGGAAAACAAUAUGAAAAUGUGGCACGUCAAUUAUAUUCUGUGAAUUAUAACAAGAGGCCCAGGGGUCUUAUAGGUCACCUGAGUAUCAUGUAACAACCUUCCAAUGUUUGAAUUAGGUUUGUGUUUAAAUAUAAGAAUUUUACUUUUGGAUGGAAGAAACAUUGAAUAGCUAUGUGGUCAUGAAGUACAUGUGUCAUUUUUAUGUUCAAUCAAUAAUCCUUUUUAAAAAAAACCUAGGUCUGAGACAUCAUAAAGAAAAGGGUUAUUUACUCCUUAGAUAAAACCAAUAUAAGAAGAUUUUCAAAGAAUUUCUACAUUUUCACUAUAUGACCAAAAGAGCCCCACCCUAACACAAGAACCCCUGCCCCAGGGGCCAUGAAUUUCACAAUUUUGGUAGAGGGCUCAACGCUCAUUAUAAUUAUGCCCACAGUUUGGCUUCUUGAUGUCCAGGAGUAAAGAAGAAGAUUUUUUAAAAUUACACUCAUUUUGAUGGUUUUUGCCCCACCCCUCAGGCCCCAGAGGGGCAGGGACCACGAAUUUCACAAUUUUUGUUCCCCUCUACCCACAGAUGCUAUAUGCCAAAAUUGGUUGAAAUUGGUUCAGGGGUUUCAGAGAAGAAGCUGAAAAUGUUCAAAUGUUAACGCACGACGAACGACGACGGACAAAAACAGAAGAUUUUCAAAGAAAUAUUGCAUUUUCACUAUAUAAUCAAUCAGCCCCGCCUUUGCACCAGAACCCCUGACCCAGGGGCCAUAAAUUUCAGUUUUGAAAGAAGCAUCCUUGAUCAUCAUUAUCAUACUAUUCGUUUGUCUACUUAAUACCCAGCAGCAGAGGAGAAGAUUUUCAAAGUAAUAAAAUGCAUUUUCACUAUAUGAUCAAUAGGGCCCCACCCUAAUACCAGAACCCCUGACCCAGGGGCCAUGAAUUUCACAAUUUUGAAAGAGGCAUCCUUGCUCAUCAUAACCAUGCUAUUGGUUUGUCUACUUAAUACCCAAGGACAGAGAAGAAGAUUUUCAAAGAAAUAAUGCAUUUUCACUAUAUGACUUAUAGAGCCCCACCCUAGCACCAGAACCCCUGAUCCAGGGGCCAUGAAUUUCACAAUUUUUAAAGAGGCAUCCUUGCUCAUCAUUACCAUGCUAUUAGUUUGUCUACUUAAUACCCAGAGACAGAGAAGAAGAUUUUCAAAGAAUUUCUACAUUUUCACUAUAUGACCAAUAGAGCCCCACCCUAACACACCAGAACCCCUGAUCCAGGGGCCAUGAAUUUCACAAUUUUUAAAGAGGCAUCCUUGCUCAUCAUUACCAUACUAUUAGUUUGUCUACUUAAUACUCAGAGACAGAGAAGAAGAUUUUCAAAGAAUUUCUACAUUUUCACUAUAUGACCAAAAGAGCCCCACCCUAACACAAGAACCCCAGGGGCCAUGAAUUUCACAAUUUUGGUAGAGGGUUCAACGCUCAUUAUUAUGCCCACAGUUUGGCUUCUUGAUGUCCAGGAUUUUUUAAAAUUACACUCAUUUUGAUGGUUUUUGUCCCACCCCUCAGGCCCCAGGCAGGGACCACGAAUUUCAUAAUUUUUGUUCCCCUCCACCCACAGAUGAUAUAUGCCAAAAUUGGUUGAAAUUGGUUCAGGGGUUUCAGAGAAGAAGCUGAAAAUGUUCAAAUGUUAACGCACGACGAACGACGACGGACAAAAACAGAUAGUGAAUGAUUCAGGUGACCUAAAAAAAAGUCAUCAAAAAUCAAAGAUAGAACUCAGUGGAUUACCUGUUGAUGAGUCACAUCCAUUUUUAGGGGCCUCUCCUGAUGGUCUAGUUAGUUGUAAAUGCUGUGGGGAUGGAUUAAUUGAAAAUGUUCAUACAUGUAUUCAAACAAAACACCAGAAGAAGCAUGUACUGAUCAUCAUUAUCAUGUGUAUUUAGACAAGAACAAUUCUGUGAGACUAAAGGAGAGUUCCUCCUGGUACAUUCAAAUUCAAGGUCAGUUGGGUGUUUGCAAGAAACCAUGGUGUGAUUUCAUUUUGUAUACAAAAAAGGGCGUUGCUGUUGACAGAAUAUAUUUUGACAACCAAUUGUAUGAAAAAAUUGUUAACACAUCCAAGAAAUUUUUUGAAAAAUACAUUGUAAAUGCCCUAGUAAACAAAAAAAAAAAAAAAAAAAAAAUACAAUGAGUUUUAUUCAUUUCUUAACUAAUGGCAUUCCUAAAUUGCAAAGAAAAGCACACACCUUUAAC